AUUGAACGCUGGCGGCAGGCCUAACACAUGCAAGUCGAGCGGAUGAAGGGAGCUUGCUCCUGGAUUCAGCGGCGGACGGGUGAGUAAUGCCUAGGAAUCUGCCUGGUAGUGGGGGAUAACGUCCGGAAACGGGCGCUAAUACCGCAUACGUCCUGAGGGAGAAAGUGGGGGAUCUUCGGACCUCACGCUAUCAGAUGAGCCUAGGUCGGAUUAGCUAGUUGGUGGGUAAAGGCCUACCAAGGCGACGAUCCGUAACUGGUCUGAGAGGAUGAUCAGUCACACGGGAACUGAGACACGGUCCAGACUCCUACGGGAGGCAGCAGUGGGGAAUAUUGGACAAUGGGCGAAAGCCUGAUCCAGCCAUGCCGCGUGUGUGAAGAAGGUCUUCGGAUUGUAAAGCACUUUAAGUUGGGAGGAAGGGCAGUAAGUUAAUACCUUGCUGUUUUGACGUUACCAACAGAAUAAGCACCGGCUAACUUCGUG
rnacentral:rRNA from 1 species